rnacentral:rRNA from 1 species
GCUUAACACAUGCAAGUCGAACGGAAGUUUUAAAUGGAAGUUUUCGGAUGGAAAUUUAAAACUUUAGUGGCGGACGGGUGAGUAACGCGUGGGUAACCUGCCGUAUACAGGGGGAUAACACUUAGAAAUAGGUGCUAAUACCGCAUAAGCGCACAGUAUCGCAUGAUACAGUGUGAAAAGCCUUGACGGUAUACGAUGGACCCGCGUCUGAUUAGCUAGUUGGUGAGGUAGAGGCUCACCAAGGCGACGAUCAGUAGCCGGCCUGAGAGGGGGAACGGCCACAUUGGGACUGAGACACGGCCCGGACUCCUACGGGAGGCAGCAGUAGGGAAUCUUCCGCAAUGGACGAAAGUCUGACGGAGCAACGCCGCGUGAGCGAAGAAGGCCUUCGGGUCGUAAAGCUCUGUUGUCAGGGAAGAACAAGUGCCAGAGUAACUGCUGGCACCUUGACGGUACCUGACCAGAAAGCCACGGCUAACUACGUGCCAGCCGCCGCCGUAAAAC